GAGAUCAGCUCAGCGACCGCCAGUUUCUGGCCCAGGAGCCGUGCCAUCCCUGCACCACUCGGUCCCGGUCCCCGCAGGGUUCCCUCCUCACCCCGACCCUUGCACGCGGCUCGCUCGUACCUAUCUGGGCUGGGCCGCACUAAACCCUACCCCAGCGAGGGGCACGCGGCGCUGGAGCGUCGGGUGUCACACGGGUACCCCCAGUCUCCUCUGCGCCAGGGCUUCACAAAUCCUACAAAACUCGUCUCAGGACUCGGUCAGCUACAAACCUGCUCAGACAGGCCCGGCCACCCCCACGACUCGUGGCCUUACUUUUGCCGGGCUAGCCUCUCCCUCCUCUCCGGGUGGGCCACUCUGGAGGCCUCCCCAGCAUCUGGCCGGUGUCUCUGGCUGAGGAUGAACAA